rnacentral:lncRNA from 1 species
UUACCCUGCUUGGUCAUAGCACGGUAGUGGGAGCUGCCAGUUUCACAUGUUUUAACUCUGUUAGAGCACUUUGAAAAAGUGGUCUGUGGUAUCUGGCUCUCGAGAUUCGGAGAACGAUGCCUCUUUGAUUUUUGAGAAAGCAAUCAUGCUGGGGGUAUGACUCUCGAGAUUCGGAGAGCAGUGUCUCUUCGAUUUUUGAGGAAGUAAUCAUGUUGGGAGUCUGGCUCUCGAGAUUCGGAGGG